GGCCCCUUAGCUCAGUGGUUAGAGCAGGCGACUCAUAAUCGCUUGGUCACUGGUUCAAACCCAGUAGGGGCCACCA
rnacentral:tRNA from 2 species